UACGGAAGGCAGCAGUGGGGAAUAUUGCACAAUGGGCGCAAGCCUGAUGCAGCCAUGCCGCGUGUAUGAAAAAGGCCUUCGGGUUGUAAAGUACUUUCAGUCGUGAGGAAGGUGUUAAGGUUAAUAACCUUAGCAAUUGACGUUAGCGACAGAAGAAGCACCGGCUAACUCCGUGCCAGCAGCCGCGGUAAUACGGAGGGUGCGAGCGUUAAUCGGAAUUACUGGGCGUAAAGGGCACGCAGGCGGUUAAUUAAGUUGGAUGUGAAAUCCCCGGACUUAACCUGGGAAUGGCAUUCAAGACUGGUUAGCUAGAGUCUUGUAGAGGGGGUAGAAUUCCAUGUGUAGCGGUGAAAUGCGUAGAGAUGUGGAGGAAUACCGGUGGCGAAGGCGGCCCCUGGACAAAGACUGACGCUCAUGUGCGAAAGCGUGGGGAGCGAAACAGGGAUUAGAUACC
rnacentral:rRNA from 1 species